rnacentral:rRNA from 1 species
UGGGUGAGUUAGAGUGGGGGAGAGUCGGGCGGCCGGCGGGACGGCCGGGACCAUGCGACGUCGGGCCCAAGUGGGCCCAUCCUGGGUCGUAUUAAUAAGCUUGGGAAACUGGGUCUAAUACCGGAUAUGACCUCGGAAUGCAUGUUCUGGGGUGGAAAGAUUUAUCGGUGCGAGAUGGGCCCGCGGCCUAUCAGCUUGUUGGUGAGGUAACGGCUCACCAAGGCGACGACGGGUAGCCGACCUGAGAGGGUGACCGGCCACACUGGGACUGAGACACGGCCCAGACUCCUACGGGAGGCAGCAGUGGGGAAUAAUGCACAAUGGGCGCAAGCCUGAUGCAGCGACGCCGCGUGCGGGAUGACGGCCUUCGGGUUGUAAACCGCUUUUGACAGGGACGAAGCGCAAGUGACUGUACCUGUAGAAUAAGGACCGGCCAACUACGUGCCAGCAGCCGCGGUAAUACGUAGGGUCCGAGCGUUGUCCGGAAUUACUGGGCGUAAAGAGCUUGUAGGCGGUUCGUCGCGUCGUUUGUGAAAACUUGGGGCUCAACCUUAAGCUUGCGGGCGAUACGGGCGGACUAGAGUACUUCAGGGGAGACUGGAAUUCCUGGUGUAGCGGUGAAAUGCGCAGAUAUCAGGAGGAACGCCGGUGGCGAAGGCGGGUCUCUGGGAAGUAACUGACGCUGAGAAGCGAAAGCAUGGGUAGCAAACAGGAUUAGAUACCCUGGUAGUCCAUGCCGUAAACGGUGGGUACUAGGUGUGGGGCUCCUUCCACGGACUCCGUGCCGUAGCUAACGCAUCAAGUACCCCGCCUGGGGAGUACGGCCGCAAGGCUAAAACUCAAAUGAAUUGACGGGG